rnacentral:rRNA from 1 species
UACGUAGGGGGGCAAGCGUUGUCCGGAAUCAUUGGGCGUAAAGAGCGUGUAGGCGGCUCGGUAAGUCCGCUCUGAAAGCCCGGGGCUCAACCCCGGGAGGCGGGCGGAUACUGUCGGGCUAGAGUCCGGAAGAGGCGAGUGGAAUUCCUGGUGUAGCGGUGAAAUGCGCAGAUAUCAGGAGGAACACCAAUGGCGAAGGCAGCUCGCUGGGACGGUACUGACGCUGAGACGCGAAAGCGUGGGGAGCAAACAGG